rnacentral:rRNA from 1 species
AUCCUACGGGGGGCAGCAGUGAGGAAUAUUGGUCAAUGGGCGAGAGGCUGAACCAGCCAAGUCGCGUGAGGGAAGAAUGUCCUAUGGAUUGUAAACCUCUUUUGUCAGGGAGCAAAGUCACCCACGUGUGGGUGUUGGAGAGUACCUGAAGAAAAAGCAUCGGCUAACUCCGUGCCAGCAGCCGCGGUAAUACGGAGGAUGCGAGCGUUAUCCGGAUUUAUUGGGUUUAAAGGGUGCGUAGGCGGAAUAUCAAGUCAGCGGUAAAAAUUCGGGGCUCAACCCCGUCGUGCCGUUGAAACUGAUGU